ACCUUGAGGUGACGUAGCAGCACGACAUGGUUUGUAGAGAAAAGAAGAUACAGACCGUUCUGGGCUGCCUCAUGACCUCAAGGG
rnacentral:pre_miRNA from 1 species